rnacentral:rRNA from 1 species
AGGACGAACGCUGGCGGCGUGCUUAACACAUGCAAGUCAAGGGGGGCCGCAAGGUCAACCGGCGAACGGGUGCGUAACACGUGAGCAACCUGCCUAAGUGUGGGGGGAUAGCCGGCCCAACGGCCGGGUAAUACCGCAUACGAUCACUAUUUGGCAUCAUUUGGUGAUGAAACUUUCGAGGCACUUAGAGGGGCUCGCGGCCUAUCAGCUUGUUGGUGGGGUAAUGGCCUACCAAGGCAACGACGGGUAGCUGGUCUGAGAGGAUGGCCAGCCACAUUGGGACUGAGAUACGGCCCAGACUCCUACGGGAGGCAGCAGUGGGGAAUAUUGCGCAAUGGGCGAAAGCCUGACGCAGCGACGCCGCGUGGGGAUGAAGCAUUUCGGUGUGUAAACCCCUGUUGCUCGGACGAACAACUGGUUUGACAGUCUGACGGUACCGGGUGAGGAAGACGACCGGACUAACUCCGUGCCAGCACGCCGGC